GACGAACGCUGGCGGCGUGCUUAACACAUGCAAGUCGAACGAAGUGGCGAACGGGUGAGUAACGCGUAAUCAACCUGCCCUUCAGAGGGGGACACCAGUUGGAAACGACUGCUAAUACCGCAUACUGAAGAAGGGGAUUGCGUCUGAUUAGCUAGUUGGAGGGGUAACGGCCCACCAAGGCGAUGAUCAGUAGGCGGUCUGGGGAGGUGGACGGCCACAAUGGGACUGGGGAACGGCCCAGACUCCUACGGGGAGCAGCAAGGGGGAAACUUCCGCAAUGGACGAAAAGCUGGCGGAGCAACUGCGCGGGGAUGAUGAAAGCCUUCGGGUUGGAAAGCUCUGUUAAUCGGGACGCGGUACCGGAAUAGAAAGCCACGGCUAACUACGUGCCAGCAGCCGCGGUAAUAC
rnacentral:rRNA from 1 species